rnacentral:rRNA from 1 species
UACGGGGGGGGCAAGCGUUGUUCGGAAUUACUGGGCGUAAAGGGCUCGUAGGCGGCCAACUAAGUCAGACGUGAAAUCCCUCGGCUUAACCGGGGAACUGCGUCUGAUACUGGAUGGCUUGAGUUUGGGAGAGGGAUGCGGAGUUCCAGGUGUAGCGGUGAAAUGCGUAGAUAUCUGGAGGAACACCGGUGGCGAAGGCGGCAUCCUGGACCAACACUGACGCUGAGUGAGCGAAAGCCAGGGGAGCAAACGGG